ACUCCUAGAUUAAACACAUCUGGGACAUCGAGAAUGAAUUGGAAGGGAAGAAAAGGCCUGCAGGAGUGACACAAAGGAAGAAGUUGGCCAUCUGAUCAUCACAGAUGCCUCGCUGAAGAAACAGAAGAAUGCUACUCUGCCAGCAGUAAUGAUGGAGAUGAGACUGGAUUUAAUAAAAUGUUAGGAUUUUUUAUUAGUCACAGAUUAGAAUGGUUCAGCACCCAGUCUUUCAUUGGAAUGUUGUCAUGAUUGACUCUAUUUCGAAAGUAGGGAUAAAAAUAGCAAUCGUACUGCAGAUCAAUUGUCUGGCAGAACUAAACAGCAAGACUGAUUCAGUUGUGUGCCAGACUCCAGUGCUGUUGCACAUACAGUUUCAAUGAAAUUUAUUUUUAAAAUAAAAUACUGAACAGUUUUGAGCUGAACUGUAGUGUUUCUAACAUAUAAUCCAGUGAGAACGCUAAACUUUACCAUGCAUGUAGUAAUGAUGGAGCUAGAAACGCACUAUAUGAACACUUGGGCUGGGAGCUGUAUACCUGCUGACUGUCAGCAUGUUUUCUUUCUGUAAUUGUAUGGGAACUGCUGAGUCACGGCCUGAACCUCUGAUUGAUCACCUGAGGUGAGCCAUGAGUCAGCCAGAGGAGCACAGGUGAAGGCAAUUCACCUGUGCUGCUGGAAGGGGUGGAGCCAGGCUGCACCCCUCCUAUACCUAUUUAAGAGCUGGCUACCAAAGGGGAAGGGUCUCUUUUGGAGAUCAUCUCUCUUGGUGUUUUCUGGAGAGCUCAGUUGAAGGGUUCAGCUCUCCAGUGUGAAACCUGGAUGUAACUCCGUCCCUACUGCUGACACACCCAAUGACGCUGCAGAUCAGCACACUCGCAAAACUGUACUGAGCAGCCUGCUCAGUUUCUCACUGCUAGCAAGCCUUUUCUUGCUGCUACUGGGUCUGAAAUUAGUAACAAUAAAAAGAACAUUCAGAUAUCUCCCUAAGAGCAGCUGCUCCCAGAAAAGCCACAGAGGGAGCACAGAAAAUUCCCGUGGGAGAGCAUCCAUUCCAUGCCUCUGUCACGUACUAGCUGACAACAUGAUUGAUCUUAGUGUUGAAUACUCUGAAGCUGUAGCAGAGCCAGAAUUGUCACAAACUUCAUUUCUUGUCUCCAUCACCAGAGGUUACAGACUAAGAAGAUCGAAGCCCCAUCAUGUGGCUGGAGUGCUGUACUAACACGAAGACAUGCUCCAAAGGGUUCUGUGUCUUGAAAAGCAAAACAGCAUGAGGAGAUCAGCACGGUGUGGAGCACAGAUCUGUAGGAGCAGAAGACUGAAAGGAUGAAGUGGUUCAAAUAAACUACUAUCUAUCAUUAAAAUCUCAGCCAAAGAGUGGGAAGAUAAGCUUGAAAACAGGGGCAAACGACACAGAGCUUAUACUAAAUGGUGGAAAAGUGAUAUGCACACACUUUACCUUUUCACAUUUUCACUCCCCAGCUCAUCUGGAAAAGAAGAACAGUUUGUGUUGAGUUACCUUGUUUGUGUAUAUUCACUGUAUUAUAGGAUAGUCUUCAACAGGAUUGUUUCUGAUGAGAUCUGUUUACAAAGGGUGUAACUUUCCCUUUUAGAAGAAAGAUGGAACAACCCACCCUCCUUUCCUGCACUUUUCACAGCAACCCAUUUUUAAUCCUGGGCAUACUGAUGAAGCUCAUCAUGCGCCCUGCCUGGCUGAGAGUGGGUGGAUAUCAGCGUGGUGAUGGACAUGAGUGCACAAAAGCCCAGUUCACUAGCAAGGCAUGCUUAUAUGCUGUUUUAAACCAACUAAUAUUUAAUUAAGCAUGGCCUGUGCAUGUCAACAUCAGUGCUAGUAUUACUCCCUUGCUGCAGAACCUCCCAAGACCAUGGAUCCGUCCACCCCUUCCUCAGCGGUGCUCAAAAUCCCACCUCCAAGCAAUGGGAACUGUGUGGGAGAUCUUAAGAUGAUCUUUGGUCAUGUUAGAGACUAGAAAAGGGCAACAAGGUACCUGUCUGGGAGCUGAGAGUUUGCUAGGGGUGAGUGUAUGCUGAAAUUGCCAUGGCAAAUGUCACCUUCAUGAAUUCAUCAAUUGCCUUCGUGGCACAUGUACCACCACUUCAGAAUGUCAUUUAUUAAUACAGUGCCAAUGUGAAUGGCUUUUUAUUGCUCUAUGCUCCAGAACUGCUGAUUUCUCUGUUGAAGGUGGCUUCCUGAAACUGUUUUCCUUGCUGUGGCCUGCAGGCAGCAUAAGGCAGGAGUAGUGCUUGAUCUACCUUGUUUGUGGUUGUUGAGCGCAAAGAUAAAGUUGCACAGCUGUGGCCCUGUUCGGCUGUGUGUAUUGUGAGGAGCUGCAGCUUGGUGCUGUGCAUCCGUGGUCACCUGGCAUGAGCUGAGAAACAGCUACAGCUCACAAUGUGGGGCUGCUGCAUGCCUCUCCUUUUCUGCACAAGAGACAUGGAACUAAAAACAGAGACAAGCAUCCUAAAUGGGGCAUCCUGAGGCUUGAAAUAAUUUGUUAAAUGUCAAGUGUGUGAUAAAGAUAGCUUCCCAAUGCCCAA